CAGAUUAUAGCUUAUAAUUAAAGCUUAUUUUUUACAUUAAUAUGAAAACAUAAUUUGUUUUAUCUGA
rnacentral:tRNA from 1 species